CUUAACACUACUUUAAGAAGACUCUAAUACAGUAACACUAGAUAAUAGCUAAAAGACAUGCAGAAUGUAGACUCUCUCUGAAUAGUAGUACUUAGGUAAACCGAGUACAAAGUCAAUAGAAGAGACAAAAGCUAGGAUACUAGAGGAUUUUCAAGUUGUGGACACCAACAGCUGCAUCAGAUCAACACAGCCCAACUCAUAGCCAGUUUAACUAUGAAAGAAAACAUCAGACAGACUCUAAUCAAGGGGCAUUUUACAAAAUCACUGACCAAUACUCUCCAAAACUGUCAAGAUCAUUAAAAACAACAAGGAGAGUCUGAAAGACAGUCAUAGUCAAGAGAAACCUAAGGAGACAGGAGACUAAAUGUAAUGGGACCCUGGUACAGAAGAAAUACAUUUGGGGAAAAAAACUAAGAUCGUCAACGAUACUUAAUAAUAACCAUCUAAUUUCAUUAUGCCUAUGUGAACCAUCUCCUUCAUAGUCUUAAAUACUUAACACAUUCUACCUGCUAGUGCAUUUCCUCCACCAGUACAGCCUCCCAGUUCACCACCGGUAAAAGCUAAAUGGGUUCCUCCUACCACCAGUGAAGGAGUCCUCAUUACCAACCAGAAAGUGAGUGAUCCAGCUCCAAAACCCCAUCUAAUUGUAUGCUUUCUCAGGCCACUGUGAUUUUAUUGCUGGUUGUGGCAGUUUGGGCCACCCAGAAGAAAAACAAAACAAAACAAAAAAACUGAGAUGAUGUCUGAAGUAUGAGAUACUGGUUAGGGAAUAACAUAUGUGAAAGGAAAGGAAGAGAAACAGAAUUGGGUAGAGGAAAAAGUGGGAAUGUGAUGUAAGCCCAGCAAGGCCUCAGCCAACCCCGUGGAGAGCUUUGAAGCAAAUAUUUCCCAGCAAAGGAUUAUGGUGAGCCAAGUCCCUAUAACGCUGCCAUCCUGGCUUAAUGGCUGAAUGCAGGCUGCCUGGGGGGGCUGAUGGUGAAGGCUGUGCCUCUCUGCAGCUGGUGCAGGCACUAGAAGAGCUGACAGCUGGAGACUGUCUAUGGAACCCACUCCUAUUGAUUAAGAAGAAAGUUCUUCAAAGCAAAGUUCUCUUGUUGAGAACACAAUUUGCUACAAAGAGAAAUAAAUUUUACACAGAGAAAAAACUCAAUCUUUGAAGAGAAAGAUGAAUACCACCCCUAUAAAACAUCACACAUUACAAAUAAAGUGCUUGUGAUUUUCAA